rnacentral:tRNA from 1 species
GCGCGUGUGGUGGAAUUGGCAGACACGCUACUUUGAGGUGGUAGUGGCGCAAGCCGUGCAGGUUCAAGUCCUGCCACGCGCACCA